rnacentral:rRNA from 1 species
UAGGGAAUCUUCCACAAUGGACGCAAGUCUGAUGGAGCAACGCCGCGUGAGUGAAGAAGGCUUUCGGGUCGUAAAACUCUGUUAUUGAAGAAGAACGUGUGUGACAGUAACUGGUCAUGCAGUGACGGUAUUCAAUCAGAAAGUCACGGCUAACUACGUGCCAGCAGCCGCGGUAAUACGUAGGUGGCAAGCGUUGUCCGGAUUUAUUGGGCGUAAAGCGAGUGCAGGCGGUCUUUUAAGUCUGAUGUGAAAGCCUUCGGCUUAACCGAAGAAGGGCAUCGGAAACUGGGAGACUUGAGUGCAGAAGAGGAGAGUGGAACUCCAUGUGUAGCGGUGAAAUGCGUAGAUAUAUGGAAGAACACCAGUGGCGAAGGCGGCUCUCUGGUCUGUAACUGACGCUGAGGCUCGAAAGCGUGGGUAGCAAACAGGAUUAGAUACCCUGGUAGUCC